rnacentral:rRNA from 1 species
CUAUAACGGUCCUAAGGUAGCGAAAUUCCUUGUCGGGUAAGUUCCGACCUGCACGAAUGGCGUAAUGAUGGCCAGGCUGUCUCCACCCGAGACUCAGUGAAAUUGAACUCGCUGUGAAGAUGCAGUGUACCCGCGGCAAGACGGAAAGACCCCGUGAACCUUUACUAUAGCUUGACACUGAACAUUGAGCCUUGAUGUGUAGGAUAGGUGGGAGGCUUUGAAGCGUGGACGCCAGUCUGCGUGGAGCCAUCCUUGAAAUACCACCCUUUAAUGUUUGAUGUUCUAACUCGGCCCCGUGAUCCGGGGUGAGGACAGUGUCUGGUGGGUAGUUUGACUGGGGCGGUCUCCUCCCAAAGAGUAACGGAGGAGCACGAAGGUUAGCUAAUCACGGUCGGACAUCGUGAGGUUAGUGCAAAGGCAUAAGCUAGCUUGACUGCGAGAGUGACGGCUCGAGCAGGUACGAAAGUAGGUCUUAGUGCUCCGGUGGUUCUGAAUGGAAGGGCCAUCGCUCAACGGAUAAAAGGUACUCCGGGGAUAACAGGCUGGUACCGCCCAAG